rnacentral:rRNA from 1 species
CACGUAGGGGCCAAGCGUUGUCCGGAUUUAUUGGGCGUAAAGAGCUCGUAGGCGGCUUAGAAAGUCAGGUGUGAAACCUCCAGGCUCAACCUGGAGACGCCACUUGAUACUUCUAUGGCUUGAGUUCGGUAGGGGACCAUGGAAUUCCUGGUGUAGCGGUGAAAUGCGCAGAUAUCAGGAGGAACACCGAUGGCGAAGGCAGUGGUCUGGGCCGAUACUGACGCUGAGGAGCGAAAGCGUGGGGAGCGAACAGG